ACAGAGUAAAAUAUUUUUCAAUCACAUUUCAUAUUCAACUCCAAAAUGAAGUAAUAGCUAGGGUUACUUCAUUUAUGGAGUAAGCUUAUCCAUUACUCCAUUUUGGAGUUGAACUUUUUAUAUUUAUGAAACGGUCCUUUUGAUUUUUUAAUAUUUUUAUUUCAUACUUAAAAUAAUAUAAUAACAUAAAAAAAUAUAAUACUCCACUAAAAAUUACUACUUUAUAGUUUACAGAAAAUAUGCAUAAACUCAUAAAAGUCAAAACUAAGAAUAAAAAAUAUAAAAUAAAUAUAAUAUAAAUAAGUAAUAUAAUAAUUAAUUCGGUAAAUUAUUUUUGAAACUACCAAAAGCGGUGAAGUAUUAUUCAAACGGAAUAGAUGAGUUUUUUAGUUUUGUGGAUCAAAAUUUUGAUUGAUAACAUUUGUACUUGUUGAACUUGAUAUAUGCACAAACAAACAAUAGGACCCAAUACAUAAUUCAAAUUACAAAACAAACUUUAUUUUUCUUUAUGUUUUUUAAUGCAUAAAAAUAUUUUUGAAUUAGAAAAAUUACAUAUGAUAAAAUCUGCACGAAUUGAAAGUGGAAGAUAAUCUCUAGUUGUAUUUUUAUUGAUAAAUAUUUAAUUUAAAUAAAAUAUAUUAUUAUAGAAAUUUUGUAAACAUAAAAUAGUUGGGUUAAUAUUUCAUUCCUACUCCAUUUUUUUUCUCUAAAAUGGAGUAAAAGUGAAUAUGGAGUAAGGAAUGCUCCAACCCAACUCCAUAUCUCACUCCAUAAUAAAAUUUACUCCAUAAAUGGAGUAAUUUAUUUUUUGUUUGUUCAUCACUCCAUUAUGGAGUGGGAAAUGGAGUAGGAUUGAAGCAAUUUUACUUCAUUUUCACUUUUACUCCAUUUUAGAGGAAAAAAUAGAGUUUUACAUUGGAGAUGCUCUAAUAACAAUUAUUAACUAAAUGAAAAAAAGAAUCAUUUUGUUUGGAGUUAAAAAUAGAGUAAUACAUUGGAGUAAAAUCCAACUUCAUUUUGGAGUUACACCAUUUUGGAGUAAAAUUUGGAGUAAUACAUUGGAGAUGCUCUAAAAGACAUGGAAACUAUUGGUUAACCAAAAAAUAUCAUAAUGGAUCUUACUUAUAUGUAUCAAAUAACAUUUAAUAAUUGAAUAAUUAUUGGUGAAAUGAACUGAAUAAAAUAGUCAUAAAUUAAUUAUAAGAUAUAGUUUAACAGGUUAAUCAUGUUUUAUAUUAUACCUUUACCACAUUAGUUAUAUAUAUAUAUACCAAAAUCAUUUUUCUAAACACAAGCAAACAUAAAUUUUAGUAAAUAAUAGAAUUUAAAAAUGGUAUAUAACGAAACCAUGUUUUUACACAUGAUCAAUAAAAAAGUGCUAUUUUUAUUUAAUUUUUAUGGAAAUGGAACUUCCUUUAUCUCCUUUGCGUGGCUGAUUGAGUCUUUUGUGAAUAUGAGUUUCUGUAUUGUAAAGGUCGGGUUCAAAAAAUGGAACAGAAAAAGUUUGCUAUUUGUAAGUGGUUUGGGUCGCAGAUCGGGAAGCAGUCGCAGCUAGAAAAGUCGACAUUUAUAUAUUUAUUUUCCUUUUUCUAUGGGUAAGAUAAUGUUGUUAAAUUAUGUUUAUACUGAGUUAGGUAGCAUUCGACUAAAGUAAUUACAUAAAGUUCAGAAGAUACAACAUAAACAUGAUUGCUUGUUUUUCUUAAUACCGUAGGUUAUCUAGAAAAAAUAACACGGCGCUAAACUUCUUAGUACAAAUACAAUCAUUAACAUGAUUGCUUGUAUAUAUAGGUAUUUACCUAAUUCAUUAUAACUUGUUACCUAAUUCAUUAUAACUUGUUCGCAUACCAAAUUACCAUUAACAUGGACUAUGCCGAUCAUAUACGUCACUUUAAUGACGUAACAAUCGGAGUAAAAUACACAGAAAUUCAGAUAUCGAGUUUGUCAUAAAUGAAAACAAAUUUAAGAUAUUAAAAAUGAGUAUUUAUUGAUUUAUUUGAAAAAAAAAUAUUGGGUUUAUACGUGUGAAAACAGAACAAUGAAAUAUUAGAAGCAAAAAGAAAAGCUUCAUUUGUCAUGGUUAUAGCGCAAGAAGGUGAAAAAUAAAGGUGGAAAAGGAAGAAAAAUAAAGCGCGAAACUAGGAGUAAAGUUUUUCAUUUGUCUAGGAUAGAGAAAAAUAUUACUUUACAUUUUUUUUUAUCUUUUUGGAGUAAAUAAGCUGAAAGACAAUUUUAUCUGAUUGGUAGAAAAAAUGGAGUUAGCUUAAAAGAACAUUUACUCUAAGUUUAUUUACUCUAUGAAUGUUAUUCAGUCACACUCAUAAUGAAAACCCUAUAAAAUAUCAGUGGUGGGAAGAAGUCAAACAAGAAGAAGCGUCUAGCAAUGGCGGGUCGAGUGCACAUGUGACAGUAUAUAUAUAUACGGAAUCUUAUAAGGAAGGUGGAAAAUGAGGGUCAAAACCUUAUAUCUUCGGAUCAUCUUUUUACAAACUAUGCAUGUGGAAACAAUGAGCAUGAUACUUGCCAAUUUCAUAGUUACAAAUGACAAACGCGGUUCCAAAUAAAGCUUUAGAUAUGCUUAACAUAGUAACAAGACAUUCCGACCGAUGAAUGAGAGGGUUUCGAUUUGAUUUUUAUUUAAUUUUUGUUUCACUACGAUUAUCUUUUAACGAGCUCACGUUUAAAACGUUGGCAGAUGUUAAUGUUAUUUUGUUCUUCUUAAACAUAAACUGGAAUAUGCAAAUAGAAUAUCUAUAUCGAUGGAAAAUAAUGUGUAGAUCGGGUUAAGCAGUGAGAUCAAGUUGACAUAAUAUAUUAGAACGUCCGCGUUAUUCCACUCGGCACCUACUUGCAUUUACUUCAUUUAUUUGUUUAUUUUUCUUGUGAGAAAAACCUAAAUAAUUUCACGGUUGACUAUACGUAUGUCACAUUCUUACAUUUAUUUUGAAAUCGAUGUUUCCAAUUGGAGAUAUAUAUUGCAGCUUUUGGAGAUAUACCUUUUUAAAAAUUAAUAGCUGUACAAAAAAAAUGUAUACUAAAAAUUAAAUCUGGAAUACAUUCUUCUAAAAUUUCAUAACUACCACAUCUUCACAAGUAAAUGUACACAUACUUCUUAGAUUUAUCUACUGAAUUACAACGUUAGGUCUAAUAGCUAAACAUUAUAAGAGCAUACAUGGUUACAUUAUAAAUGUUUCAUAAUAUAAUUUUUUGAAAAGUAUUUUAGUUUCAAAAUAUAAGUUAUCUUCACAUUUAUGAAAAAUAAAUAGAUGAAUGAAUAGUAUCUGCUGAAAGUCGUUGGUCUUGUCAUUUACUUGUAUUGAAGUUUUUUAUGGGUUAUACUUAAUUUUUUAAUAAGCAAGAACAUAUUCUUUGGCAAUUAAAGCAGUUAAAGUUAUAAAAAACCAGCAAAGUCAAUGGAGGUAAACAAACGUUAUAAUAUAAACUAUAAACACACAAAUUUAAGAUAUAUGCAAUUACAAAGCACAUAUACUUAUUUGACAUGGUUAUCUUAUCUCACUACACUGAACAAUUUUAAAAAACAGAGACUAGCAAAGCAUAGGCAAAAUAUAAACCGAGAAAUAGGUCGACCCAUGCGUUUAGCACGAGCUUCAUGGCAUGCACAACAAACAACAAAAUUUCAGAAGAAUAAUUAACUUAGAUAACACAAAACAUACACAAAAUCAAAUAAGAACGUCUCAAUUAUUUUUCGGACCCUGUUCAAAAAUAUUAACGAUAUAUUUAAAGCAUAAUGAAAUAGCUUUAGAAACUAAUAGUUCUAUUUAUAUAUGUUUAACAUUUUUUUAUAAAUUAUAAACUCUAAAUUAGUCAGUACUGUAUUUAAAUUUUGAUGUUUUAGACUAUAAUUUAUGUAUAUAUUGUUGAAAAUUUCUUUAAAAUUUUUAUUUUUAUAUUUGGACCCUGUUCGACCGCUCCACAUGCACGUGCUAUUAGACAGUCCCUGUAAGAACGGUGUGAGAUUUUGUUUAAGGAAAGGUUUAAAAGCUCAAAAACCUUUCUAAAUUCAUUAAAAGUUAUUACAAAAUCAUAGUUUUAGGCAAAUCCAUAAAAUGAAUUAUUUAUUUUAUAUAAUAUUAUUAAAUAGAUUCUAACCUGAUCAACUAAAAACUACAUGCAGAAAUAAUAUUCAUACACCUUGCGCACACUCUCUUAAUCAGUUUACUUUUUACCCUACACAAAUCUAGAAGUGCAACAAUCUCUUCAGAGACUUCCCUAUAUUUUCAUCCAGAACCACACAUAUCUUUCGUCUCCCUAUAGGUAAAGCUAACAAGAUUAAUAAGUUAAGCUGUAAUGACAAAUCCAGAUGCUGCUGCGAUAAACCUGCCUGAAGCUUAGAGACAGAUUAGUUUGGUGAGACGUGCUUAGCGUUGAGAUCAGGUGGAAACCGGUUUAAUCAGGUGGUGUGCCUCCUUUUCUUCUAAAUGAAAAUUUCGCAUGUGUGAGCUCGUUCGUAUGUAUUCUGAGAUCUAAGCCCGUAUUAAAGCCCAUUAAUAUGGGCUUAGUAAUAUUUGAAAGACGUGGCAGUGAUUACCUUGGUGCAGAAGUCAACAAAACUAGGUGGAUAUUUGAGCUCUGUUUGUAAAGUGUUUAGCUUUGUCGGUUUAAUGCUCUCUGGGUUUAGUUGAACUUCUUGUGUGUUGAUUAGUUUCCUUGCUUUGGAGCUAUAAGUGCAUGAACUUUUGUGUAAAGUUUCAGAUUUUAUCUUAACCUGAACUUUUGGUUAAGAAAAAAAUGGAUACGGCCUUCGAACUUGGAAACAGUUAUACGGAGUAUGAAGCCUAACUUAAGAAAAAUUACUGAUAAUCCGAUCUGAUAAUUGUUACGCAUAUCUGACUUGCCUGUUCUGCUACGCUUGAUUGUCUUUGACUUGCCUGGAAGAUAAUGAAGUUUAAGGAAGAUCAGGAUGUACGAAUGGCUUCAAAAUGUUUGAUAAGGUCUCUCUCUCUCUCUCUCGUAUCUGAAGUAUGUUGACUCUCUAUUUGCUGGAUUCUGUAAAAAAAUGUGUAGCCUCUCUUUCAGGUACCUUAUAUAUAUGCAUAUUAGAGAAAACAAUUAUUGGACUCUUAACGCCAACAUGAAUGGAAAAUGGAACUUGAGAUUUUACCUUUAGCUGCAUUUAAUAUUCAUCAUCAUCUGAGAUCAAAACUCAAAACCUUGACAAGAACUUGACGCAGAUUUUACCUUUAGCUGCAUUUAAUUCGACCAAAUAAUGUGAUUCAGAGAUCUUUCAAAUCAUCUUCAUUAUUCCUAUGUUGGAUUAUAUGACUCGUAUGAGUCGUAUCUACUAGGUUUGACUUUAUGUUUGGACUUAAACACUCCUCAAAGAUAGAUUGAUCCUGAGCCGAGUAAUAUGCAAAACUGAAUCGGUAAACAUGUUGAACCAGAGAAAACUAGACCGAAUAAAGAGUCUUUAGUUUGCAAUGCUUAUACUGAAAUCAUGUUAUGAGCUCAUUUACCAAAUUCCAAACCGAUAUCAUCAGAGAACCAUAUCUCAAGUCGGUUUGAUCUGGUUUGUAUCGAGGUUUGGUUUAUCUUUUGAUGGUGGUGCUACUCAGAACAUCAACAUCAGUACCAAACACAUGAGUUAAACAGUCCUCGUAGAGUAUGGAUCUUGAGAAUCCAAAGAUGGGGUAUACUAAAGAUUUGCUUACUGAUCAUCAUCACUAAAAAAGAGAAAAAGAAUCAAAGAUCGUUUUCAAACAGUAAAAGAAAAAGAGACUUCGACGUUAGAUUUGUUAGUGGCUUCAACUAAAAAAACCACGUGAUCUCUAUGCACAGUUAACUCAUUAUCUCAAUAAUGUUUUUAUUAGGAGGCGGCCGUAUUGUGAAGCUUGAAAUGAUGAGGUUCCUUUUCGUUGUUUUGUUUGUGAAACAACUUUAGUUUGUUAGUUAAUAAAGAAAAUUUCACUAGAUCUGACAAGUUUUAUCUCAAAUCUUUGUUACAUACUGUUAAUUCCCCAACCAGUAAAGUUAUUUUUGGAAAAGUAAUUGUAGUUAUCUUAUUUUUCAUGUAUAUGAUUUGUAUUUUUAGUCUUUAUCAUCUUUGUAUGUAAAUGUUGUCGGGUGAUAAGCCGUUUUAGCAUGUUGUAAACUCAAUGCCAAAUAAUUAUACGUAUUGGAAAAGUUUAUAUAUCUAGCAUAUCAGAUAAGACUUGUUCCCUAUCACCUGAUAUCAUCUACGUAUAUAUGUUGAAACUAUACAUCAACAACAAUGUUAUUCUUCUAAAUUCGAUUUCUAGGAAAUGAAUGAAAUAAUUUAUUUGGUGAAAGGCUAAAUCACAAGGCAGGCCACUUCUUCGAUUGGAAGAAUGUCAUGUCGGCUUUCAGUGAGAAUUUGGAAAAGUUGCCUAUGCAGUGAAGUAUAUAAGCCACUAAUAAAGAGAAUCUCGUGGCUGAAAUUAAGUUAAUUUGAUCACAUUCGAUGCAUUUUCUUUAAACCCAUUAUUUUUCAUUAUUUUAGUCUUAGGUUUCCCUACAUCUAUAUAAUAUCAAACAUUUCCGCAUAAUCAAAAUCUUACGAUCAUGGACAAUAUACAAAUUAUUGGACCAUAAGGUCUGAGAAAGGACUUGUAUAAAAAUGAUUAAAAUGUGUUUUAUAGAAAAUCAAUCCGUUUUAAUAUUUGUAUAGGUAUAAUCCUCGUCAAUGCACAUAAAUACAAACGUUGUACUUAUUACGUUUCGAAUUAAUUGUCAUUCUAAAGUUUUGUACACAUAUUAAAAAAUUAGUUACAUCUUCAUAUUUGUCUUUUGUUUGACCAUUAUAACUGUAUAAUAUUUAUUGUUUAUCUUAAUUUAAUUAAGAGCAAAAAAAAUUAAUGGAAUAAAUUUCAUUGGAAUUAUAAAACGAUAUUUAUUUUGUAAUAAAAAAUUUACGCUACAACGAUAAUUAAUUUAAAACAGAAUAAAUACUAACCAAACUUACACGAACUUGUUUAUAAAGUGUUAUAUAACUGAUUAGAUUGAUAUUGUUAAACUAUUAAAACUACACCCAGUGGUACAAAUACUCUAAUACUAAUCUGCCAUGUUGGAAAAAAAACAUGCGUGCGUAUUUAUGCUUGUACCAUCAAUAGAUUUUAGAAACAAUUACAUCCAAAGCAGUUUUAAGUUUAUUAUUACAUAAUAAGACAGUUUAUGCUACCAAGACACUUUCUUCUAACAACUUCUCUCUUUUCUAAACUAAUUAGUUAUCUUGCAACUAAAUAGCUGACUAACUAAAAAGAUUGUUUUAGCAGGAAUUAACCCACACCACUCAUCUAUUUUUACAAUCGAUGGCCCAGAUUUGUUAUGAUAUAUGUGACAAGACUUAUAUUUGUUUUCUUUCUCAGCCUUUAGAUUUGUAUUUUGCUUUACAUUUUAAUGGCCCAGAUUCAUUUAAGCACAAUAAAAUAUCUUCAUCUCCCACACUUAUUUUCUUCUUUUGAUUUUACGUAAAAACAGAACCUUAAUCAUUUUCUGCCUCCAUCUCCAUCGGAUUAUGUCUCCAUCUCCAUCGGAUUACUGCGGCUAAUAACCUGAUUUUGUGAUGACUCCGGCGCGGCAAGGAUAUCCGACUUUAUCUACCUCCAGUAAGAGUGAUGACUCCGGUGGUGAUGCUUCAUAGCUGCCAUGGUGAAUAACAAACAAGAUCAGACGGGACUACUCGUCUCCUUAUGUUGACUGCUAAGGUAGAAAGAAGAAGAAGAUGCUUAUGAUUGAUCUCCACCAAAUCAUAUUUCUUUUAUUUGCACUUUAGGUCAUUUAUGUUUAGCUAGGUUUUCAAUUUGACCUCCAAAUUAUGGAAUACACAUAUUUUUUAAUUGACUCCAAACUUUCAAAUAUGCACUUUACCCCUUGUUACAUGCAACAAGAAUGAUUAGUGUGUGUUUUCAUGUUAGCUUCAUUUUAAGUUAGUUUAUACUAAUCUUUGGUUAUUGUACACAUGUACACUAUCAUUUCUUGAUAUCAUUGACGAAGACUUUUUAUACCCCUUCCUGUCACUUUGAAGACAUAACAUAUGAUAUGUUUUUCAUUUCUUAUCUACAGCCACUAUUCUUUUUCAUUCACUCAGAUAGUGUACACAACCAAGUCGUACAUACCAGGGGAACACCAGCCCACUUCUAGCAAAUGUCUUUAUUGAUAUACCCAUGUACGCCACCAUAUUUAACAUACUUCCUCUCCUCACUCUGAAGAUAUAACAUGGGUUAUUCAUUUUUCAUCUACAACUACUAUUCUUUUCAUUCAUAUAUGUGUACACAUGUACAACUCAGAUCGUGUACACAACCAAGUCGUACAUACCACGGGAACACCACUUUUUGAAGAUGUCCUUAUUUAAUGUACACAUGAAGACCACCAUUUUUAUCGUACACAUCUACUCCAUUACACUAUAUCGUACACACACAACAAAUAUCCAACAACCACUAUCUACGCACACCACCACGUGUCCACAUGGAAUAUACAAAGCCACAUUACAACUCAAUUGAGUUUAAUCAUAAAUACAUAGACUUAUAGGUUAGAUAAAGUGUCAUUUUGCGUAUAAUGUAAACUAAAUUGAGUUUUACAUUAUGUUUCUCAACUUUAAAUUAUGUUUCUCAACUUCUUGUUCUUAAUUUUGGUUUAGUGUUCCUUUUUAGAUUUGUCUAUUCAUUAAAGUUGAAGUCUUUGCAACAAAAAAACCUAUCAAAUGCACACGACAUUUGUGUAUAACUCAAAUGUAAUGUACACAUGAGAUGUACGAGCCACAUGUACACACGACAUUUGUGUAUAACUCAAAUGUAAUGUACACAUGAGAUGUACGAGUGGGUUUCAAUGUUGCUCAACGAUGGUUUGAUUAGGUGUACACAUGUAUAGCUUGUUUGAUAUAUAAUACAAAAUUAAACCAUCGUUGAGCAACAUUGAAACCUACUCGUACAUCUCAUGUGUACAUUACAUUUGAGUUAUACACAAAUGUCGUGUGUACAUGUCGCUCGUACAUGUCAUGUGUACAUUGAAACUCGCUCGUACACAAAUAUCGUGUGUACAUUACAUUUAAGCUAUACAUGUGUACACAUGUACACGCAUGUUUGCACUCAAUUGUGGUGCAGAUUGUUUAUAUCUAAAAGAACAUAUAUAGUGUACACAUGUACACUUUGAAGUUGAUGUACAUAUGUACACUAUAAACACUUAGAUGUUACUAUUGCAUCUUAAUUAAUCAGAUUAAAUUAUUUAAGUAGCAUUUAAUUGUUAAUAGAAAAGUGUAUUUACAUACAUAAUUGCAUAACCAUGGUCUAUAUUGCACAUUUUAAAGUUUCUGGGCAAAUUCAUGAAGAAACUUGAACUGAUUAAAAUUUUGAGAUAAAUUGGAGAAUAAGAAAGAAUGGGAGGACCAUAGUUGCAAAUAAUCAAAAGUUAACCAUUGUUGCUCCUAUCAAGCUUUUUCUUUGAUCUGCAACUGAAGCCAUGACGAUUCUGGCGCCCACAUCCCGAGCAUGAAGACCACGACGAGAAGGAGACGACUUGACCUUGAAGCGUAUUACGGUAGAACUCUGCCAAAAUUUUGCUCACGGUUUGAGGUUACGGACAAUGGAGCUCUCCGGCUUCUCCAUCACGUUUCUCUCCGGAGUCUCUGGUGCUCCGCGACUGAAACCAUGGUGAUUCUAGCCGCCACAAUUCUUCUCCCAAGCACGACGACCACGGCGGAAUGGAACUCGCGAUUAGAGGUCUGUCACGUUUUUUUCAGAUGCUCCGUUACCUACAUAUAACAUAUUUGCCUAUACGUCAAAAUAAAUUUAAUUGUUAUGGUUUAAAAAAAGUAUAUCUGAUUCAUUUAAUCUUUUGAAAUUCAAACACAGAAAAAAAUUGUAGAAGGUAACUAAAUCAACAACUAGGUUUUCUUAUAGUUAGGGUUAAUGUUGUAAUUAGCCACCAAAAACUACAUUAGUAGCACAAACUGCUCUAUGGUGUAAUAAAAACUUGAAAACUGCCUUUAAGUGUUAAUAAAAAUCAUUAUAAAGUUAUCAUGUAUUGAAAAAAGAGAUAAUUACUCAAUUAGUUGAGAAAAAAGUUUUGAUAUUACUAGAACAGCAUACAUUUUCUAAAUAUUACUCAAAUGUUGGGUAACUCCUGGUAGAUUAUAAUAAAGUAAUAAACACACUUGGUUAGCUUUUUUAAUUGUGAUUAUUUAUAAUUAAAAAAGUGAUUAAAAUUAUUAACAAAUCCAUGUCACUAAUAACUGUGAUUUCAAUUAAAAGACAUUUAACUUAAAACUUCCGUUGUUAAAAAAAAAA